rnacentral:rRNA from 1 species
UACGUAGGGUGCAAGCGUUGUUCGGAAUUACUGGGCGUAAAGGGCGCGUAGGCGGGCCUGUAUGUCGAUUGUGAAAGCCCUGGGCUUAACCCGGGAAGUGGCAGUCGAAACUGCAGGUCUUGAGUGCCUGAGAGGAUGGCGGAAUUCCCGGUGUAGAAGUGAAAUUCGUAGAUAUCGGGAAGAACACCUGAGGCGAAGGCGGACGUCUGGCGGUGGCACUGACGCUGAGGCGCGAAAGCGUGGGGGAGCAAACAGGG